CCAUGCCAAAACCAAAUUUUAUAACUUUCAUCAAUACCAUUAACAUACAAGUGAUCUCUAACACCCUUUCUACUAUGUUUUUCACAAUUCCCACAUUUCAAACAAGGACAACGAAUAUAGGAGCUAGUUGUAUUAGAAAAUCCAAAUUUGAUGAAGUUUUCCACACCCAACUCAUAAUCUUUAGACAAUCUACUCUUGUGCAUCCAAGAUUUAUCCAUCAUUGUAAAUCUAAUGAGAAAUAAAGUUAUUGUCACUAUUGAUAAUUAAAG
rnacentral:lncRNA from 1 species